rnacentral:rRNA from 1 species
AACGAACGCUGGCGGCGUGUUUAAGACAUGCAAGUCGCACGGGGCAACAUGAGUAGUAAUACGAUUGUUGUUCAGUGGCGCACGGGUGAGUAACACGUGAAUUACAUGCCCUUCAGUGGGGAAUAGCCCAGGGAAACUUGGAUUAAUACCCCAUGGUAUCGCAAGAUUAAAGGUGGCCAGCAAUGGCUGUCGCUGAAGGAUUGGUUCGCGCCCUAUCAGCUUGUUGGCGGGAUAACGGCCCACCAAGGCUACGACGGGUACCUGGUCUGAGAGGACGAUCAGGCACACUGGAACUGAGACACGGUCCAGACACCUACGGGUGGCAGCAGUCGAGAAUAAUUCACAAUGGGGGCAACCCUGAUGGUGCAACGCCGCGUGGAGGAUGAACGGUCUUCGGAUUGUAAAACUCCUGUCAUCUGGGAGUAAGGCAUGGUUGUUAAUAGCAAACAUGAUUGAUAGUAACCAGAAGAGGAAGGGACGGCUAACUUCGUGCCA